GACAGAGGGUGCAAACGUUGUUCGGAAUUACUGGGCGUAAAGCGCGUGUAGGCGGCUUGGAAAGUCGGGUGUGAAAGCCCUGGGCUCAACCUAGGAAGUGCACUCGAAACUGCCGAGCUUGAGUUCUGGAGAGGAAGGCGGAAUUCUCGGUGUAGAGGUGAAAUUCGUAGAUAUCGAGAGGAACACCGGUGGCGAAGGCGGCCUUCUGGACAGCAACUGACGGCUGAGACGCGAAAGCGUGGGGAGCAAACAGG
rnacentral:rRNA from 1 species